AAAGCUCUAGACAGCUAAUUUUGAGGUGAUAAUUUAGUUUUUUUUUUUUUUGGUGAAUUUACAGUUUUGCAGCUCUUGAAAUCCGCUCAGAUGCAGCAUGGAUUGCGGUUUGGCGAUUACGCUCGUUACCGGAGGUACUGUACUGCUCGGCUCAGGAGAUUGUACAAGUCGUUGAAAUUCACGCAUGGCCGUGGUAAA